GAGACCCACGCCCACAGUUGCCAGCGUACUCUCCGGAGUGACGGGUACACUGUGGGGACCGCCGCUGCUAAAGCGGAGGAAGGAAUGGGCAACGGUAGGUCAGUAUGCCCCGAAUAUCCCGGGCUACACGCGAGCUACAAUGGUUGGUACAAUGGGUAUCUACCCCGAAAGGGGAUGGAAAUCUCCUAAAGCCAAUCUUAGUCCGGAUUGAGGGCUGCAACUCGCCCUCAUGAAGCUGGAAUCCGUAGUAACCGCGCGUCAUAACCGCGCAGUGAAUAC
rnacentral:rRNA from 1 species